UUUAUUUAAUUAUUCUUGAUCCCUUAAAUGUAAAAUCCCUUUUCCAAAUGUUCACUUAAGUGGCUACUAUUAAGUCUUUAUCAGUUCCGAGCAUUUCAGCCUCUUGUAGGCAGAAAUUUCUCAAUCUGACAGAAUAAGAAAUGCAUUUACAUGGCCUAAGCUCUUAAAUUGUCCCUUUCAAUUAAUGCCCCAUCAUGGAGCAAUCUGGAAACCAUUACUCAGUAACUCUUCAUUAUAAUUGCUUGCAGCUGAAUAUCCAGGCCUUGGUAAUAUAAGAAUAAAAGAAAACUCAGUUAGUAACAAGUGCAAUUGAUUCCAUUCAGAAUUCCCCUGGUGCUUUGCCAUGUUUGGCCUGCAUGAGAGGAAACAAGAGGAUUUUUUUUUUUUUCCUCCCUCUCUCUCUCUUUUUUUUUUUCUUUUUUUUCUUUCAGGGCCAGGAAAUGAAUUGGCAGACAUGAGAUGGUCUGUGUGCUGCUUGCCUUCAUUUUUCAGCUGGUCCUUGUUAAAAAUGAGACGGUGGGGCUCCUACUUUUUUUUUUUUCUUUUUUUUUCCUUAAAGUAGAGGGCUUUUCUAGUAACAGAUAAAACUACAAUGCCUCAAUUUGCUGCAUGCUAACAGCAACCAGAAACACUCACCUCCUGUGCUUUUCAUAAUCAGACCUGAAACUUUCUUCAGUUAAUUCCAGGAUUCCUAGCUGCAGGAUUAUUUUCCUCCUUGUUCCCAACUUUAUGAACACUUCAAGCAGCUCUGAAAGCCAACCUCUCCCUCAACCACCCGUCAGCACCCAUACAGGAACAUGAGUGUCAGUGUGUCUGAAGACACAGCAGCCUUGUCCAGCUCACAGAGAAUCCAGGGGCCAUAAAUCAGGAGCAAUGGAAAUUUCACCCUAGGUAACGUUGGCUUUGGAGGAACCAAGUGUUUCCCUUCAGAUAACGUCCUGGCCUUCAGGGAUGAGGCACUGAAAUUGCACCAGGGAUGGCUGUUUCUGCGCACACACACCUUAUGCUUCUCCAGCCUUCUAGAGAUGCCAGAUCCUUGCAGCUGCAGCAUGUGCGAGGUACAAUGAGGACAAGUAGCUUUCUAACUAUGUGAAACGGUGGAUAGGUUUAGUAACAAUUUCUCAGCCUCCAGGCAGUAGUGAAGGGCUUUAACAGCUAUGUAACAUGGCAUAUUUUAUUAAAGUUCAGCUGUGGAGCUUCACUUUUAUUUGCCUCUGAUACUUCAGGUCCAGUCAGGACAAAAUGCUUCCAGCACCCCCCUCCUACAAAACUGUUUCCUCCCAGGGCCAGUAGCAACCCGCAGCAAAGAUGGGUUUGUCAGGUAGGAGAUCCCUCCUCCUGCUCCAGGCAAGAGGAGCUCCUGGUUCAUUCCUGUGUUUGCGCUUUGGUGCUUGGAGCUACUUCCAUUGCGGCCUCAUGUUGCUGCGAUGCAAAUAGCACUUAGCAUUAAUAAGGUUUUGGGAUGGUUCAGGUCUGCAUCCAGGAACUCUUGAUUUCCCAAGUGGAUCCCUCAGAGGUGCUCUCCAGUGAUUUAGAUAAUAAAACAUCUAAAUAAUAUAUAUAUUUUUUCUCUGUAUAUUGGUGAUGGAAACCCAAAGGGAUUUUUUCACAGCAGGGAAAUUUCUAUUUCAUUCUGGAAAACUGCUUUUGCUAGAAAGUUGGAAAAAUUUCUGUGUUAAAAAUACAGAUUUACUUUCUUGUCUUUUCUUGCUUUGAACAGAUGCAUAGAAAUUAAUGAUUUUCCUUGAAAGGUAAAAGUAUUAUUAUUUUUUCCCCUUUUGGAUUUCAGUGUUUCUGGUAGGCCCGACUGCUGAUCAGCAUUAUGAUUUCACAUGAGGUUUCUGGACACUUCUACAGAUGUGUUGACAGUUAGAUAGAUGGGCUAAUAUGGGAAUGGACUUCCCUGGAAAGCCUUUGGACUCUGCAAGGCCCAAAACUGACCUCAAAAGCUUCCCUUCUAUUCAGCAGGAGCUAAAGCUAAUUGCCCCAUACAGCAAUUACAAUAUAUUGCACUUCUCAGGGCUUCCCUGGAGUGGGGCAUGCAGUGGAAAAUAGUGCAAAAUAAGUGGGAAAAAAAACGGGACCUGGGGGGUUCAAUACCAUGGCAAUAUGUGGAAUAUGUUUCAUUUUGUGCUCUCCUGCCAUCCCUUUUGGUGGUGUGGCUGUGGCUUAUCUGUAUCACUCACUGUGCUUCCAAGACUCAUCACAACAGGACAUGAAGGGUGAAAACAACUAUGUCUAUUUCCAUUUUUAAAGGAGAGGCUGCAAGAUGAACACCCUGACAGAGUGUUAGAGUUAGGGAGUAACACGGAGGAACUGGCCUGCACAUGGAGGGAGUUUUCCAGGCUGAAAUUCUGAUGCUCAAGGAAGCGUGAACAUCAGAGAUGCUGCUAGGCCUUUCAACACUUGAGACGGACAGGGAUUUUCUGCUGCAUCUGUGCGAAGCCAUCUAACGCGGGCUGGCCCUGAAGCAGAGCGGGACUGAAGUUAUCCCAAGGAGAGCUCAGCACCUGGCUGCUGGGGUCUGGAUCCCUACAUGCCCAAGGCAGUCCCACAUAUCCCUCAAAUUCAAAGAUUCACAACCCGGGAGACUUCAGCUUUGUGUCCACAUUGCCACUUCCCACAACAUGGAUCGCUCAAGGCUGCUGCAGAAGAUGGAACAAUUAACUUUUACAGAUUUACUAACUUUUAAAGGUUUCAGCUCUGAACAACUUCACCUGGAAACCCCGAUGAUGGCAAGCUCACCACCUCGUGCCUGCUAUUAAUUUUAGCCGCUGAUAUUCAGCAAACCUCCAGACAUGGACGGAACCUGGGAGGCAGGGAGCAAACAUAUUGCAAAAGAUGUACGUGUGUGAGGUCUCCCUUGCUCCUGGGAUGUGCAAGAGGGUUAUAAAGGAACCUACCUCUGGUGCCCCCAGGCUUCCUUGAUGCCUGGUGGAGAGGAGAAGGGGGACCUCAGGGAGUUCCCCCAAGAAAGGACUUCAGUUCUUUAUCUUCCAUCUCAAUGCUCUUUUCUCUCUCCCUACAUCCCAUUAUAUUGAUUCUAGACCCAGUCUUGCUCCAUUUAACCCAGUGUUAGAGAUCCAGACCUGAAAUAUUUAUUCACUUAAUGUAGCCAAAUGCAGCCAAUAGCAAUUAAAAGCCUGACCUCCAACACCCUGCUGAAACAACUGCCCAAAGUUAGAGGCUCAUCACCACAUGAGACAUCUGAGGUAAUCAGACCCCCUUCAGCCUCAGCUUCCCACCCUCCAUCCCCCCACCCCAAAUACCCUGUAAAAUAAUACCACGGCACUAAAUUAGACCUCAUUACCUAUUGAGUCACUCGAUCCAGACCUCCCUUACAUAGUAAUGAGUACUGAUUUAUUGUGAUCAUUAUUUGGGCAUUACAGGUCACUAAAUAACACGCUCUGCCCACACAUGUCUUCUGAGCUAAUAAAUAUCCGUAUAGGAAAUAUUUUUGAGUGAACUAGCCUUCAGGUUGGUUCAGUAACUUAAGUCACAUUAAUUUUCUUAAUGCAUGUAGUGCUUUGAUAGGAAAGCCACAGGGAUGGAAGCAGAGAAAGAGGCACAUUAAAAUCCCUAAACACGGCUUUUCUCAAGCUGGGGUUUCUGGAAGGGAACUGGGGAAGUGGUACAGAGCAAGGUCAGUGGGAAGGAUCAAAAACAACCCUAGAAAAUGAAUAUUUGAAAUCAACCAGCACCCCUAGGGCUUGAUCCAGCCCUCAAUGAAGUAAUGGAAAGAUUCCCAUUGAGUUAAAUAGGCUUUGGACCAUAUCCAGGUGUACUUGCAACUAUAAGUGUAUGUGCAUCACUUGUGCACACACAUCUACUAUUAUAUAUUUCUUAAAAACUUCAGAGCAAAUUAAAAGCUUUUAAGAAUUUGCUCCAGGAACCAAACAAUACUGGGAUUUUUGAAAUUUUAUACCGUAUCCCUUAGUUGUAUAUCUAUUGUACAAAACUGGACAAGAUUCAAAUUUGGCAGAGAUGAAAUUAUAUUGUUUGUUGUCUUU